UUAUGGACCCACCUGAUCCCAUGCCGAACUCAGAAGUGAAACGUAAUAGCGCCGAUGGUAGUGUGGGGUUUCCCCAUGUGAGAGUAGGACAUCGCCAGGC
rnacentral:rRNA from 1 species